UAUCCGGAUUUAUUGGGUUUAAAGGGUGCGUAGGCGGCCUAUUAAGUCAGGGGUGAAAUACGGUGGCUCAACCAUCGCAGUGCCUUUGAUACUGAUGGGCUUGAAUCCAUUUGAAGUGGGCGGAAUAAGACAAGUAGCGGUGAAAUGCAUAGAUAUGUCUUAGAACUCCGAUUGCGAAGGCAGCUCACUAAGCUGGUAUUGACGCUGAUGCACGAAAGCGUGGGGAUCGAACAGG
rnacentral:rRNA from 1 species